rnacentral:misc_RNA from 1 species
AUCGCUUUGAGAAUGGAGUGAGGAUCUGUGCGCAAGUUCCUCCCGCAUAUUUGUAGUGUAAAUCGUAAAUGGUGAUGAAUACCGCUGGAUGUGUUGUGCUAGAAAAAGCGUCAGUGUGUUAGCUCUAAGUAUGGAACAUAAGAUGAAGGAAAAAUCGUAGAAAUCAGCGGAGAAAAAAGAAGUGUGCCAUAGCAGUGCCAUAGGGGAGCCAUGCACAACAACCGGCGGCGGAAGAAGCGGCCCAGCUAUGGGGUCCGCACGGUGGAGAUCACGAAGGGCAGGAACGGCUUCGGCUUCACCAUCAGCGGGCAGGCGCCGUGCAUCCUGUCGUGCAUCGUGCCGGGCAGCCCCGCCGAGCGCGCCGGCCUGCGCCCCGGCGACUACCUCAUCGCCGUCAACAGCCAGAACGUCAGCAAGGCGCCGCACGAUGACGUGGCGCGCCUCAUCGGCCUCUCCAAGCUCCUCAAGCUUCAGAUCGCCGAGAAUUACUACUCGGACAGCUCCGACGACGAGUUCGUCACGGUGAACCGCCCCAAGCCCAAGUACCCGAACCGCCUGCGCCACAAGAACCAGCAGACGCGCGCAGAGAAGGUCGUGCGCGACUUGCAAAGUGGCGCCAUCUUCAGCGAGCACACGGCCAUCCACUUGGGCGAGGCGGCCCUGCUUUCCGACCGCGACGCCUGGCCCGAGUCUGCCUUCCCGCCCAAGGCGCCGCUCACGCCCACGCCCAAGGGCCUCACGGUCUCCACGUCUGUGUCGCCCGUGCCCGAGGGCCUUGGGGGCGGCGGCGGCGACGGAGGCCCGUCCGGCGUGCCCUCCUCCACGUCUCCCACGCGCCUGCGCCCCGACCAGAUCCAGCUUGUCAUGGCGGAGGCGCGACAGGUCACGCGGACGCCGCGGCCCAUGAAGGAGCCACAGCAACAGCAGCAACAACAGCAGCAGCAACAGCAGCAGCAACAACAGCAGCAGCAGCAACAACAGCAACAACAACAACAGCAACAACAACAGCAGCAACAACAGCAGCAGCAGCAGCAGCAACAACAACAACAACAGCAACAACAACAGCAGCAGCAACAGCAACAGCAGCAACAACAGCAGCAGCAACAGCAGCAGCAACAGCAACAACAACAGCAGCAGCAGCAGCAGCAGCAAGAGCACCCGCCGCGGCCCAGACACGUUGUCAAGAAAAAGGACAAGUCUCCGAAGGCUAAGCUCAGGCACCACCCGCAGAACCUGCCGCCGGAGGCCGUUAGUCAGCUGGCGCAUCACCAGCAUCAUCACCAGCAGCAACAGCAGCAUCUGCAGCAGCACCAUCAGCAGCAACAACAACAACAGCACCUACAACAACACCUGCAGCAACAACACUUACAAAAGCAACAGCAUUUACAACAGCAGCACAGUCAACAGCAGCUGCUGCACCAACAGCAGUUGCACCAACAGCAGCCUCAACGACAGCAGUCCCCCGUGCAGCAGCAACUUCAGCAGUCACAGCAGCAGCAUUCGGGUAUGUGGGUUGGCGUGGAGCUGCCGAGCGGCUCUGGUAAAGAAGCAUACAGCGUGCUGACUGAGCAGGAAAUCAACAAGCUUCUCUACCCGACCCUGGCGGAGCUGCAGCAGCAGGCGGCCCCCAACGACCUGGGCGAGGCCCUGUACCGCGCCGUGGUGGGCUACCUAGGCACUAUCGAGAUGCCCAAGGAGCCCCAGGGCGGCUCCAGGCUGGCCGCCAUCAGGAACUGCAUCCGGCGGCUGCGCAUCGAGAAGAAGGUGCACACGCUGGUCCUCAUGUCGGUGUUUACAGAGCGCGUCGUCCUCACCAGCCCGCACGGCCUCACGUUGGCGCAGUACCCUGCCGAACGCAUCACCUUCUGCGGUGUGUACGCCGACGACAAGAAGUUCUUCGGCCUGGUGACAGUGCACGGCGCGUCGGGCGAUGAGCUGAGUGACGGCAGCCAGGACGGAGGCAGCGUGUCGUCGUCAUGCCAUGUGUUCAUGGUGGACCCGCGCAUGGUACAGCACGCCGACCAUGCGCGCAGGGCCAAGAACUUCCGGCUGGAAUGCACGCCGCACCCCGACGCGCCGCACUGCCAGGAGUUCCCCGACUCGGCCGACCCGAUCCUGCACGCUAUCAUGAGCCUGUACCGCAAUCGGGUGGGGUUCCACCUGGACACCGGCGCGCCCGGACUCAUCGACGUGGAGGCGCAGAUGUCGCCCCAGCACUCCAACACUUCCUCCAACUCCUCCAACUCUGACUCUGGCAUCGGCUUCAGGGACGAUGGCGGACACCACUACCACCAUAAUGACCGCGUCUUCGUCGUCGAGGUGGACGAUAACCAGCGCAUGCGCAUACAGAACUUCCAGCUGGUGAGCAACCUCCGAGCCAACCUAAACGACAACCUCAGGUCAAACAUCGACAACCACAGAGGGAACAUAGAUAACCAUAGAGGGAAUAUAGAAAACCAAAGGGGAAACAUGGAUAACCACAGAGGGAAUAUGGAUAGCCACAGAGGGAAUAUUGAUAACCACAGAGGAAAUAUGGAUAAUCACAGAGGGAAUAUGGAUAACCUGAGGGGGAACAUGGACAACCAUAGGGGCAACAUAGAUAUCCACCGAGGCAAUAUAGACAGUCACAGAGGGAACUUGGACAACCACAGAGGGAAUAUGGACAGCCACCGGGGUCUAGACAACCACAGGUCUAACAUGGACAACCUGCGGGUCAAUUUGGACAGUCACCGGGCCAACCUGGACAACCUCCGGCCGAGCAGCACGGACAACUUCCGUUCCAACCUGGAGACGCACCGUGCGCACCUCGACAACCUCCGCGGCAACAUUACGGCGGGCUACGGCGGCAGCGUCAGCGCCUCCGUCACCGAAAGUAUUGCGAACAGCCUGAGUGCCAAUGUCUUACGUGCCAAUAUCAAUGACUUUAACCCUUCCAGUGCCAAUAACCUGCGUGCCAUCGCGAGCGAGAAGCUGCUAGUGAGUGCGAGUGAGAACAGCAGCAGUGCCAAGUUGCUGGACAACGUGCGUGCCAACGUGAACGACCACUUGCGAGUGAGUGUGACGGACAAAGUGUUGGGAAAUGUCGAUAACUUGCGAGUGAGCGUGAGUGACGCGAAACGGCUGAGCGACCUGCGGGCCAGCCUGGCCGAGAGCCGGGCCAGCCUCGUAGAUGGACGCACUAGCAUCACGGACGAUCUGCGGGCGGCGCUGGAGGACGAGGUCCGGGCCGGCCUGCACGACGUCCGUGCGAACGGCGUGGACGGUCGCACCAGCAUCACUGACGACACGCGGCUGGCGCGCGACCGGGGCGCCACCAAGACACCUGUGGGAGACUGCAGCGCCACGCCGGAAACGGGACGCCUGACGGUGCGCGCCAUGCCUGACCCCGUGGGCUUCGAGAGGUCGCCGGGCUUCCUCAGUAGCAGCGACACGCCCGUGCACGUGGCCUCCAUGCGCCACUCCAUGCACAAGUACCUGCAACACAAACAGGAGCACCUCGUCAAAGUGUCUCAGAAGAUCAAUCGGCGCGAGUCCGACACGGGCGGCAUCCACCCGUUGAGCGUGCGCGCUUUCUCGCCCGCCACCACCAAGGCCAGCCCCCCCACGCCCACCGUCACUGCCUCUGCCCAGGAGACACUCGACCUUGAGCUCUCAAUUAAACUGUCCCCGAAAGUGUUCGGAGUGCCUCAGCUACCCCUCGGCGGCGCCUUGUCCCCGCUGCGUCCGCGGGCGCCCUCCGAGAGGUCCUACACGCGAUCCCUUGAGGAUCUGCGGGACUCCUCCACCAGCGAUGGUGUGGGCGGACCUCUGGCCAGCGGUGGCUGCGGCAGUAGCUUCCGCGACGGCUCGGAGAGUGACCACGGGCUGGACCGCCUGCGGCACGUCCCUCUGACACCGCUAGCGCGCCUGCUGCACGCCUCGGAGAACAACCUCACGCGCUAUGGCCACAUCUACCCGUCUGAGCAUCACCGCGGGGCCUUCCGCGCCGUGGCGCCCCGGACACAUCGCGACCCCCCAGCACCUCUUGGUGUCGGGGUGGUACCGCGUAUGGGCGGCCUGGUGGGCGUGGGCACCCUGGACUCGGGCGACGAACAUACAGAGAAUACAGAGAACACAGGAGAACAGGAAGGAAGCCAAGACGUGCACCCGCCGACACAGGACGAGUUCUCUCACGACUCCGACUCAGAACAGGUUGAUGGAGGAGUGGAGAAAAAGUGGACGCGCAGUAGUUCCCUUCGUCGUACUUUCCAUCACUCCAGUCACAACAGUGGCCACCAGCAGGAUCCGUCUGCGCACUCAGAUACUGAAAUUGGGAAGAUAUCCGCCCCACAUAGUCUUCUAGAUGGAGACUGUGGUUCAGUAGGAGGCAGUGUAUCAUCUGAACGAGGCAUUGAUGUGGGGAGAGUGGGUGCUUGGGCUACUUCCUUUGAGAAGCUCUUAGAAGACCCUGCAGGGUUACACACUUUUGCUGAGUUCCUGAAAAAAGAAUAUAGUCAUGAAAACAUAUAUUUCUGGACUGCCUGUGAGCGGUACAAGCGCUUGUCCAACCCUGAUGAACUACGUGCCAUGGCCAAAGAGAUCUUCGAGAGACAUUUGUGCAUAGGCGCUUCAGAACCUGUCAACGUUGACUCCCAGGCAAGACAGGAUGCUCAAGAUGGUCUGCAUUCUCCCAAUGAAUUCCUCUUUGCACAGGCCCAGAAGCAAAUCUUCAAUCUCAUGAAGUUUGAUAGCUACUCGCGAUUCUUGAAGUCAAACUUGUACAAGGACUGUGUAUCACGAGACAUAAGGGGCCAGACUCUGCCCUACCCUGGAGAUGAAACACUUGAUCCUGACCUUAGGAUUGUUCAAGAGGAUUCCCAUGUUAAGCUAAAGAAGAGCAAGUCAGAUGCCGAUGAACGGCGUAGGAAAUCCCUCUUGCCAUGGCACAGAAAGGACCGCAGCAAAAGCAAGGACAGAGGGGAAGCAGAAUACAGGCGGAGGAAGAAGAUGGGUCAGCGCAACCCCUCGGAGUCCUCCAGUGUUCGGUCUGACAUGAGCGGAAGCCGAACGUCUCUCAACUCCUCUGACAUUCCACUUGGAAGAAGAGCUGUGUCCAAAGAAUCCCUUACAAGUGGUGAGCUUGGGAGCCUGAGUGGAAGUGAAGGCUGCAACAGAUGCCGCGUCAUUCUGCCUGAUCUCAGCAACUCCGUUGUAGCUGUUCGUCCUGGGGAAUCCAUACAGGUGCUACUGACAAGGCUACUUGAACGCCGAGGAAUCUCUUAUUCAACCUUUGAUGUGUAUCAACACAAAUCAGACAAGUCUCCUGCCUACAAGCUGAUGGAGAAGACUGAGGACAGCUCUGUGCUGGGAGGACUGGAGGUCAGGCUCGAGCAGAGGAUUCUUUUCCGUCUGGACCUUCCCAACCGCAAAACUGUGUGUGUCAAAGCUAAACCAAAUAAACUUGCAAAUGAAGUUCUUAAACCAAUUCUUCACAAGUAUGGUUACAAACUUGACCUUAUGACCAUUCAUAAGGUUGGAGAAGAAAAAGGGGUGAACCUUAAGUGCCAUGUGAAUGAGUUGGAUGGAGAUAGGCUUGUAGUGCAAACUAAGGAGGAGGUGAAAGAGUGGGGAGUAGAGCCAGCACGGCAGAAAAAGAGAGGCAGUUUAGACGAAAUCACAAACCGUGUGUUUGAGGACCUGUUAAAAGGAAAAUCGGAGCAAAAUUUUGAUGAACUUGGUGUGCUAGAUUUUGAUGCCAGAUCUUCCAGAACGGACAGAAGCAGCGAUAGGUCUUCCAGCAUCCUGGGGGGGUUCAGUAGGAGAAAUUCCUUGGCACCUGAUAAGGAAUCAAACAAAAAGCCAAGGAAACCCAACAGUAGGUCAAGUGUGCAUGAAAACCUUGGUGUUCGAGGGAUGAUGCCACCUCCAGAGCAUGCAAUAGUCACAAAGCGGCGUGGCAAUAACCCAGCCAAUGCAAAACAAGAGAAUGAUGAGUUAUAUGAAGGAUUAAAACGUGCUCAGAGGAGCCGCCUAGAUGACCAAAGAGGGACAGAAAUAAAUUUUGAACUCCCUGAUUUUCUCAAGUGUGACCAACCUCAGGUUACUAACUCUUAAUCUUUAACCCCUUUGGAUCCCUUGGGAUUUUCUGUCGUUCAUUUCUGCAACCAGGACAAGGAGAAUCAGCAUGCACACCUGGCUGAUCAACUGUUAGCACACCUGGAAUGCUCCUUCUCAGAAGGAGGUGUUAUACCAAGCCACCAGGAAGCUGAGGACUACUUCAGCAUGGCUCACCCUGAGGUGUGGGGAGGCAUUCCAACUAGCUCUGGCCCACACUCAGCUAAUGCCACCCUCCUUGCACCUGACAUAGACCUGGAUGAC